rnacentral:tRNA from 2 species
ACCGUUAUAAUGAGAUCCUAAUCUCAAAACAAAAGGGGGAUAUGGCGAAAUUGGUAGACGCUACGGACUUAAAAUCCGUCGACUUUAAAAAUCGUGAGGGUUCAAGUCCCUCUAUCCCCA